UAGGGAAUCUUCCACAAUGGACGCAAGUCUGAUGGAGCAACGCCGCGUGAGUGAAGAAGGGUUUCGGCUCGUAAAACUCUGUUGUUAGAGAAGAACAAGGGUGAGAGUAACUGUUCACCCCUUGACGGUAUCUAACCAGAAAGCCACGGCUAACUACGUGCCAG
rnacentral:rRNA from 1 species